rnacentral:SRP_RNA from 1 species
GACCAUAUGACAAGGGUAGCUGUGUGAACCGAGUCAGAUCCGGAAGGAAGCAGCUAUAAGCAUUAGCUGCCUUGUGUUGUAUGUUAAUA